AUUGAACGCUGGCGGCAGGCCUAACACAGGCAAGUGGAGCGGAGCGGCGGACGGGGGGUUAUGGCCAAGGAAUCGGCCGGGUGGUGGGGGAUAACGUCCGGAAACGGGCGCUAAUACCGCAUACUAUCAGAUGAGCCUAGGUCGGAUUAGGUAGUUGGUGGGGUAAAGGCCUACCAAGGCGACGAUACGUAAAUGGUCUGAGAGGAUGAUCAGUCACACUGGAACUGAGACACGGUCCAGACUCCUACGGGAGGCAGCAGUGGGGAAUAUUGGACAAUGGGCGAAAGCCUGAGCCAGCCAUGCCGCGUGUGUGAAGAAGGUCUUCGGAUUGUAAAGCACUUUAAGUUGGGAGGCGUUACCAACAGAAUAAGCACCGGCUAACUUCGUGCCAGCCGCCGCGGUAAUAC
rnacentral:rRNA from 1 species